rnacentral:rRNA from 1 species
CAGCCCCUCGAGUGGUGGGGAUGAUUAUUUGGCCUAAAGCGUCCGUAGCCGGCCGAGUAAGUCCCCCGUUAAAUCCAGCGUCUCAAGCGUUGGACUGCGGGAGAUACUACUUGGCUAGAGAGUGGGAGAGGUCAGCGGUAUUCUGGGGGUAGGGGCGAAAUCCUUUGAUCCCCGGAGGACCACCAGUGGCGAAGGCUGCUGACUAGAACACGUCUGACGGUCAGGGACGAAAGCUGGGGUAGCGAACCGGAUUAGAGACCCGAGUAGUCC